rnacentral:rRNA from 1 species
GACGAACCGUCCAAACGUUAUUCGGAAUCACUGGGCUUAAAGGGUGCGUAGGCGGCCCGGAAAGUUGGGUGUGAAAGCCCUCGGCUUAACCGAGGAAUUGCGCCCAAAACUACCGGGCUGGAGGAAGACAGAGGUAAGCGGAACUUAGGGUGGAGCGGUGAAAUGCGUUGAUAUCCUAAGGAACACCAGGAGCGAAAGCGGCUUACUGGGUCUUUUCUGACGCUGAGGCACGAAAGCUAGGGGAG